AUUGAACGCUGGCGGCAUGCCUUACACAUGCAAGUCGAACGGUAACAGGUCUUCGGAUGCUGACGAGUGGCGAACGGGUGAGUAAUACAUCGGAACGUGCCUAGUAGUGGGGGAUAACUACUCGAAAGAGUGGCUAAUACCGCAUGAGAUCUACGGAUGAAAGCAGGGGAUCGCAAGACCUUGUGCUACUAGAGCGGCCGAUGGCAGAUUAGGUAGUUGGUGGGAUAAAAGCUUACCAAGCCGACGAUCUGUAGCUGGUCUGAGAGGACGAUCAGCCACACUGGGACUGAGAAACGGCCCAGACUCCUACGGGAGGCAGCAGUGGGGAAUUUUGGACAAUGGGCGCAAGCCUGAUCCAGCAAUGCCGCGUGCAGGAUGAAGGCCUUCGGGUUGUAAACUGCUUUUGUACGGAACGAAACGGCUCUGGUUAAUACCUGGGGCUAAUGACGGUACCGUAAGAAUAAGCACCGGCUAACUACGUGCCAGCAGCCGCCGUAA
rnacentral:rRNA from 1 species